rnacentral:SRP_RNA from 1 species
GCUGGGUAUGGUAGUGCAGACCCUGCUACUGGAGAGGCUGAGAGGUUUGCAGAUCUCUUGACCUCAAGAAUUCUGAUCUACACUAGGCUCAGCCAAUAGGUCGUUUGCACUAAGGUUGGCAUUAGUAUGGACUAUGACAAGCUCUUAGGAGCUUGCCUAAACAGGGAUGAACCAGACAAGUCUAUAAUAGAGCAGGCUAAAAUUCUUGUGCCAGUCAGAGUGGGACCCUGACUGUAAGCAGUGCUUGUACUACCAGCUUAAGCAAGAUAGGGAUACCUAGUCUUA